rnacentral:rRNA from 1 species
AGCAGCCGCGGUAAUUCCAGCUCCAAUAGCGUAUAUUAAAGUUGUUGCAGUUAAAAAGCUCGUAGUUGAAUUUCGGGGUUAGUAGGUUGGUCGUGCCACUGGUACGUACUGGUCUCACUGAUUCCUCCUUCCUGAUGAACUGUAAUGCCAUUAAUUUGGUGUUGCAGGGAAACUGGACUGUUACUUUGAAAAAAUUUAGGAGUUAGUUAAAGCAUGCAUACGCUUGAAUACAUUAGCAUGGAAUAAUGAAAUAGGACGUUCGAUCCUAUUUUGUUGGUUUCUAGGAUUGACGUAAUGAUUAAUAGGGAUAGUUGGGGGCAUUAGUAUUCAAUUGUCAGAGGUGAAAUUCUUGGAUUUAUUGAAGACUAACUACUGCGAAAGCAUUUGCCAAGGAUGUUUUCAUUAAUCAAGAACGAAAGUUAGGGGAUCGAAGACGAUCAGAUACCGUCGUAGUCUUAACCAUAAACUAUGCCGACUAGGGAUCGGAUGAUGUUAAUUUUUUUCAAUGACUCAUUCGGCG